rnacentral:lncRNA from 1 species
AGACUGGCAGAUGUGCUUGUGAUUUUAUUUCUAAUCCUAGCUUCCUAGGAGUUUCCCCUGGAUAGAGAAAUUUGUUCAGCCAGUGCUUGGUCAGGGUUUGUGAUUAGGUUUGCUGUGAGGCUUCUGCACAUUGGAUGAUGGGUUUCUGUGCAGCCUUGAGUGGUUUUAGUCUGCCUCACACAUUGCUCUGAUUACUCCUGAAUGUGGGAAGUUUCCAGGUUCUGCCUUUUGCAUUAUUUUCAGUCUAUUCCCC